AUAACACACAAUAUAGACUUCAAAAACUCAGAGCUUUUGCUGGGGAUAUAUGCUCCUUCCAAAGGAGAUUGCAUGCAGUAUUCUGAGAAAUAAUUCCUCCAAAGGUGGAUAUUGAGGGAGAAACAGUAAAAUCCAAGACAAUCUCCUGUGGAAGAAAAUUCUCCAACCCAAAGCUCAACCAAACCCAAAGCGCAACCCAAAGCACUGAACAGCACAUCAAUUAAGACCUGUCAAAUAUAAUCACACAAUCUAAUAUUUUUAAACAUGCAAAAUGAAGAGCACCAAAGUCAAUGUCAUUCAGAAAUAACAACAACAAAACCAGAGCACCCUAUACAAUUAGGCCUCAAGGAAUUCCAAAGUAGUGUAUUAGGUAUAGAAAAUAUAUAUGUAAUUAGAAACAUUUACAGAAAGUUAACAAUUUCAGUAAAGAAGAAAAUAAAAAUUCAAUGUUUGAUAUACAUAUAUAAAAAUAAAUUUCAGGAAAAUGAAAGGUCCAUGUGAUGACAGAAUCCAAAUUAUAUAAAAGAUAGAAAUUUC
rnacentral:lncRNA from 1 species